CUCUGGCAGCUCUGCUCCGGAAGCUCUACUCUGGAAGCUUUGCUCUGGCAUCCCUGCUCUGGUUAGCUCUGACUCUGGCAUCUCUGCUCUGGCAACUUGACUCUGGUCCUCUGCUCUGGUUAGCUGUGGCUCUAGAAGCUCUGCUCUGGCAGCUCUGUUCUGGAAGCUUUGCUCUGCCAACUCUGCUCUGGUAAGCUCUGCUCUGGACUUUUCCCUCUGCCUAUUUCUCACAGCUUCUUUGCUCCCUGCUGCUCAUCUUUGGUAUUCCACUUUGGUAUUCCAAGCAAAGCCACGUGUCCUGAUCUUAGGACCUUGCAUAUUUCACCCCUCAUCAGAGUUGAUAAAUCAUAUUGAUUCCAUGCAACAAUCACAACACGCUUGAUAGCAGAUGCCAAAAUUCUUUCCAAAAUUUGUUCUUUCUAAAAUAAUAAUCAUUUUAUAUUUAAAAUAGUGAAACGUGUUAUUAAAUUAGGAAACUAAUUUAAUACUUACCAUAGGUGUGUAGGAAGAAUCACGGCAGAUCAGGAAAUGGAGGUAUCAAAACAGAGA
rnacentral:lncRNA from 1 species